rnacentral:rRNA from 1 species
CGGAGGGUGCGAGCGUUAUCCGGAUUUACUGGGUUUAAAGGGUGUGUAGGCGGGCUAUUAAGUCAGCGGUGAAAUCUUCGGGCUCAACCCGGAAACUGCCAUUGAUACUAUUAGUCUUGAAUACUGUGGAGGUAUGCGGAAUGUGUCAUGUAGCGGUGAAAUGCUUAGAGAUGACACAGAACACCGAUUGCGAAGGCAGCGUACUACACAGUUAUGACGCUGAGGCACGAAAGCGUGGGAUCAAACAGGAUU